rnacentral:rRNA from 1 species
GACGAGGGACCUAGCGUUGUUCGGAAUCAUUGGGCGUAAAGAGUAUGUAGGCGGCUUUGUAAGUCAGUUGUGAAAGCCCCGGGCUUAACCCGGGAAGUGCAAUUGAUACUGCUAAGCUUGAAUUUGGAAGAGGGUAGUGGAAUUCCUGGUGUAGUGGUGAAAUACGUAGAUAUCAGGAGGAACACCGGUGGCGAAGGCGGCUACCUGGUCCUAAAAUUGACGCUGAGAUACGAAAGCAUGGGGGAUCAAAACAGG